CGCAGAUGACAGGCCGGUCAUGCCCGGUUGGCUGCACACCUCCAUCUGCGUUACGGCUCCGGUACUCGCACGCCGUGUGUUCCCCGGGAAACACUGCUGCACGGACAAAAAUGGAGGCGGCGCCGGCGGCGUGAUGGUGCAACUGUGACGGAGGGAAAUGACUCGUUGAAGUUCUGUGAAAACACUCCAAGUAAAACCCAUGAGUUCCAGCUGAGAGCGUCAUCUAAACAUCUGCCCGGAGGAUUCAGGACCAAGCGUCUCUGCGGAGAAAUGGCCUCCUCAGACCAGAGCAGAUACCCACCCGUCUGCAGACUCACUCCCUCCUCCGUGCACAAACGCACAAACCACAAACACGCACCAGACAGCCGCCGUCUGGCUGCUCGCAGGUUGACUUUGAGGGGUCCCCCCCCCCCUGACUGAUGUAUUGGACAGGACAUGAAUGGGAUUACGAGGCGCUUUGGCUGCCGCCGAAAAGACCAGAGAGAAAUAUUUCUCAAAAAAUUCUCCUGAAACUGAAGAGGUGAACACAAAGGGCUACAAGGAGGAGAGUUUGAUCUGAAUCCCGUAUCCUGUUGUUUUCAACGUGACUAAAUGAAUCCACAGGAUUACUCUUGUGUCUGGAUUACAUUCCGUGUUUGUGUAGGGGGCAGGCUGGGUAAUGACAUGUGAGAGACUAAUGGGUUGGUACGAAAGCCCACAACACACAGACCUUUUGAAUUGGUUUAUGUCAUCAAAAAAAAAACAUGGAAAGUAUGCUAAGGGGAAAAUAUGACUGUGUGUGUGUGUAUGUGCAUCUGAGGGUGUGAGAGUGUGUGUCUUUCUCAAUAUUUAUACCUUUGGGUGAGAUUUGCCUCUUUGGCGGCCCAGGUAGCUUUUCUUCGUUUUUACCGAACGCGUAAACACACACACACACACACACACACACACACACAGACGCGCGCGUUGAGACCUAAAAGUGUGUCUGGGUGUGUUUUGUAUCGUUUGUAAUGCAUCACUGUCCUCACGCUCUCUCCCCAUGGAACGUUCCCAGAGGACACCGUAGGUUGUUGUUGGAAUAAUCCCCAUCGGGCAUUAACAAGUAGCUGUGAGACAAAUGGAAGAGAGAAGUGUGAGAAUUGGAAUAUUUUUAUCUCAACUUUUCUGUCAGUUGUUCGGCGCGAGUUUCGCGACUUUAUCGAGGCUUUCAAAAAUGAAUUGAUAAGUGUUUUGGUUUGCACGGGUAAAGGUGACACAUGUGUUGUUUUCUCUUUUUAGCUGCUCCCAAAUGGCCAACAAAUAAUUCGCAUUACCUUUUUAUAAACGGGCAUGAAUUGACUUCACUUCUUGUUAGCAUGUCCUGCUCUUGUUAGGCCUAAAAUGUGCUCAAAGCCAUUGACUCAAACUAAAACUUGCAUGUUUUCUUUUUUCC
ensembl:lncRNA